GAGUUUGAUCGUGGCUCAGAUUGAACGCUGGCGGCAUACCUUACACAUGCAAGUCGAACGGCAGCACGGGAGCUUGCUCCUGGUGGCGAGUGGCGAACGGGUGAGUAAUGCAUCGGAACGUAUCCUGGAGUGGGGGAUAACGUAGCGAAAGUUACGCUAAUACCGCAUAUUCUGUGAGCAGGAAAGCGGGGGACCUUCGGGCCUCGCGCUCUUGGAGCGGCCGAUGUCGGAUUAGCUAGUUGGUGAGGUAAAGGCUCACCAAGGCGACGAUCCGUAGCAGGUCUGAGAGGAUGAUCUGCCACACUGGAACUGAGACACGGUCCAGACUCCUACGGGAGGCAGCAGUGGGGAAUUUUGGACAAUGGGGGCAACCCUGAUCCAGCCAUGCCGCGUGUGUGAAGAAGGUCUUCGGAUUGUAAAGCACUUUAAGUUGGGAGGAAGGGCAGUAAGUUAAUACCUUGCUGUUUUGACGUUACCGACAGAAUAAGCACCGGCUAACUCU
rnacentral:rRNA from 1 species